rnacentral:rRNA from 1 species
AGUGAACGCUGGCGGCGUGCCUAAUACAUGCAAGUCGAACGGAGUGGCGCACGGGUGAGUAAUGUAUAGCUAAUCUGCCCUACACUAGAGGACAACAGUUGGAAACGGCUGCUAAUACUCUAUAGUGUAGGUUGAGGCUAUAUUGUAUCAGUUAGGUGGUGAGGUAAUGGCUCACCAAGGCUAUGACGCAUAACUGGCCUGAGAGGAUGAUCAGUCACACUGGAACUGAGACACGGUCCAGACUCCUACGGGAGGCAGCAGUAGGGAAUAGUGCUCAAUGGGGGAAACCCUGGAGCAGCAACGCCGCGUGGAGGAUGACACUUUUCGGAGCGUAAACUCCUUUUGUUAGGGAAGCGGUACCAAACGAAUAAGCACCGGCUAACUCCGUGCCAGCAGCCGCGGUAAUUC